rnacentral:tRNA from 2 species
GCGCUCGUAGCUCAGCUGGAUAGAGCGUUGGCCUCCGAAGCCAAAGGCCGCUGGUUCAAGUCCAGUCGAGCGCACCA